GCAAUAGCCCACAAGAACAAGGGGAGAGACCUUGAGACCUCCUGCGGCUGUGUCUAAAGUGUCUUGCCCACCUCUUCAUCCUGGUUGGGUGGCCUGUAGCACACUCCCACGAUAAGGUCAGUCUUACUGGCCUUUGCUUUUCUUCUGACCUAGAAGCUCUCAACCCUAUCAUGGCCAUCGUUCAUUUCCAGACAUUCCCAUUCUUUCUUAACGUAGAGGGCUGCACCACUGCCUUUCCUGCCUUGCCUCUCUCUUUUGCAAAGUCGCUAGCCAUCCAUCACAGCACUCCAGCUGUGCAUUGUGAUCAACUUAAAAAAGGAACGCAUGAAGAAUAGCUUUGUUUGCAUUCUGGUAACUGCUGAGGCUUUGGCUGAGGACAGCUUUCAGCUGCACCUGAACUAGGCUGGAUUUGUCUCCUGCUCUCCAUAGGUGAGUGUUUCUCUUGCAGACCUUUGAAUCAAUGAUUCCCCUGCUAUUUGUCUCUUCUGGUUGCUGGAGAGAAGAGCUCCAAUGUCACAUCCUGAUCCGUAAGGUGAUCAAGCUUGGUGAUUGUCAGUAAUUCAGGAUAUGCUUGCUUUUCUUGAAGUGAACUAAGGGAUAAGCUAUCAUGCUGUGCCAUUUCUUUUCCUGUGCGUAAUGCCAAGGGAUAGGGCUGCAAGUGCCUGCUGGUUCACGGGACAUGCCAGAGCUUUGUACACAGCUUAAGUGAUGGAAGAGGAAAGACUCCAGUAUGGUAACAACGUGAUUUCUAGUGUUUUGGUACGUAUAUUCAAGUCAGUAUGGGUCCAUUUCAGACAGCAUCGUCUCACAUCUGUUUGUUGUCUCGUAUCAAACGCAUUUUUACUCAUUUGGCUACAUACAUACUCCACCCAUAGUUUGCAUCUUGUCUUCUUAGGGUGAGGUUUGCCUGCUGAACAGCAAGACAAAAGGAGCUUAAAUUACAGAAGCAGAGAAGCAAAGACAGCUUAGAGGCUCAAUACAGUACGGAUCAGUUAGAGCAUUACUUGGAAGUUGUUGUGUUCUGGGUGUUAGGUGGGAUGAGGCACGGGUGUGAAUGUUACAGCCAAGUGUUUUUCCCUUGUUCAUUGUUCACCUGCUGCCAUGCAAGCCAGCUCUUCUUUUCCCUGCCUCUGCUUUUCUUGUUGCAUGCAUAUGCAUCGCAAAAUCUCUGAACAGAUUUCUUUUCCCGUUUUAACAGUGUAUAGCUAGAAGUGGGGCUUAUCUCAGCCUUUUGUCUCAUCAUCUGAUGGAGAUUGGUUGUGUAUGGGGGAGUUUGCACGAAUUAUUAGCAUCUCACCAAAAGCAAGGAACAGAAAAAGAAAGAAAAAAACACCAAACCGCCCUAAAAGCUGCAUAAAUGACUAUAGCUGAGCCAGCAGGAAAUAUUACCUGCAGUUUGCAGAGUCCUCGUUUUGCUCAGCACUGACUGGAUGGGGUUAACAGUGACCACUAAUGAAGGAGCUCUGCUACCUGUCUCAGCAGUGCUCCAGUCUUUGUUGCUGCGUUAUGAAUGCACUGCUCCUCCUGACACAUUGCAGGAUUCAGGCUGGGAGCAGGUAUGGCAUCCCCUGACUUGACCACGUGUAACUUGAUGCUAGAAGUACACCACGUCCUCCCUCCCUGCAUGGCAAGAGAUGGCUCUCUUCUCCUGCAAAGGCAGCCAAAGUAACUUCUGUGUGCUGACUAGAGAGAGAAAACUUGGUGUCACUCCUUGCAAGUCCUGUGGCAGCCAGAUAUUGUGUUAGCCACUCACAGGUAGCAUGUCUUUGGUAUCAGGGUGUAAGAGAAUGAACUCUGUAGGAGCGCUGCUGUCAUAGGCCACCAAGGGCCCGGGAUGCCUGGCUGAAAUUUGAUGUUGCAGAUACCUUGGUGUCACUGGAAUCCAUGGAGCUGACACAGUCCUCUGAUGGCUGGAUUUCUGCUUGCUAAGGGUAUUCCUUCUGGUUUCUUGGCUUUUCAGGUGUAUGGGAACUGUAUAAUCACAGCCUGACCCUCUGUUUGACCACCUGAGGCGAGUGCUGAGUCAGCUGCAGGGGCACAGGUGAUGGCAGUUUCAGCUGAGUGACCGGAAGGGGUGGACCCUGGCUGCAGCCCUGCUAGACCCCAUGUAAGGGCUGACUCCCAAGGAGGAAGGAUCUCUACCUGGAGGUCACCCUUAGUGGAGCCCUUCUGCGCGCCCAGGGUACGGGUAAGCUUUUUAUGUCAUUCCUCCUUUGGAAACGCGAUCAUCUCUCUGGUCCUUUACCUGUUUGCCUUACAAUCUGUUUGCCAUACACACAGGUAAUGUUUAACCCUCCUAAUGGGUAGCCCUGAAGCCUUUUCUGUAAACGCAACAGG